CCUAGAUUUAUUUAAGCAUUAAUCCAUCAAAGUUUUCCGCGGUUUUCGAAAGGAGAAAGUGAUCUUAUGAUUUUUACUUCCUAUAAGAACAUAUACAAUGACGGGUAUACUGUAUUUGAAUAAAACUUUUAAAAUUGGCCUAUUAUGCAUCUCGCGUGUUGCAUGUAUUCGAAUAUAAUUAUGGAGCAUCUGUGUCUCACGGAAUAUAUGCGAGCCACUUACGAACCCACAAACGGGCGUACGCAGGCGGAAGUUUAGGGUGUAUAAAAAAACUGCACUCUUAAAACAUGGAACCGUCAUAGAUUUGAAUCGGUUCGUUUCUUAGGUUGAAAUUUACAAAUCCAGUCCGCAACGAAUGAUUCUACUCGUUGCCACCUAAUUCACGUUUUGCGAUAAGUCGUAUUUCGUUCAUAAUAGCGAGCUUUUAAAAGCAGUCUUUACUGCAGACAGGUAUUCACCCAUAAUCCGUUUCUUGUAUAAAUCAGGCCAUGAAUCCGUUCCAUGAUUGC